rnacentral:lncRNA from 1 species
GCUGAGGAAAGGCUCCAUUUUUAUUUAUUUUCUUUUUCUAUUCAGUCAGGCAGGUGUUAGGGGGAGCCCUACCUUCCACCCAGGAUGCCCAGAUCGGGAGGAUCCAGGUCAGGAAGGUCUGGAGGACAUUUGGACACAGACACAGGCCAUGUGAGCAUGAAGGCAGAGACUGGGAGAUGCAUCUAGAAGCCAAGGAACGUGGAAGAUGGCCAGCAAACUGCCAGACACAGAGGGAGAGGCCUGGAGCAGUCUCCCUUAUAGCCCCAGGAGGAACCAACCCUGUUUGCACGUUGCUGUUGGACUUCUGGCCUCCAGAACUGGGAGACAACACGUUUUGGUGGCUUAAGCCACCAACGAUAUUCAUGCAGCCCCUGUGGAGGUCAAGGGAUUUGUUCCAGAGCUCUGGGCAAGUCACUUUGCUUUUUGAGGCUUCCUAGCCUGUAAAGUGGGGAGUGGCAGCUGUCUGCAGCUGUCAAGAUCAAAUGAGGUAAAGAAGUCUGAAGAGAGGGGAGGCGGAGACGCUGACCUCCAUUUCUGCCCUGCUUCUGCCACUCCCUAGCUCAUGGCCACUUGCCCGCUACUUAAUAAUAGUAGUUACCUCCCAGGAUGGUUUGGGACCAGCGGCGUUAUUUGAUAGAAAUCACCUGGAGAGCAGCAGCGCUCCCCAGAGUUUUGCAGUUCUUGUUCAUGACAGAGCCCAGCGGAGGGUCCAAGCGUGAGGGAGGAACGUCAAGGGCAGUGUGGCGGGUGCAGGAGCUGGAGGGGGCUUGGGGUUUGGUGGUUGACCUUCGACCUUCUCCAACAGAGAUGCAAAUGUUACAGAUGGGGUCUGGGGACAGCCAAGUGGGGAGAGGUGGACUGGAGUUGAGUGUGCUCUGGUUUGGAAGUGAGACCUUGACUUGUGGUGGCCUCACCCUGUUUGGGUGACAUCUCUGUUCAGAGCUAAGCCCCAGGGACACAUGGCAAGGAAGACAGAUGGGAGUGGUGGCAGUCGGGAGCCUCGGCGAGAUUCUAUCUGGUGCUGGGCUGGAGCCGGGGAAUGGGACCUUCUUCUGACAGCUCUCUGGCUGCUUCCGAUGGAAAAGAAGCUGAUCUGUGCGAUGCGGGCUUGAACCCACAUUGACCAGAGACUUUGCAGCCAGCUCACCCCUCCAAAUCCCCGCCCUGGAGUCCCUGACCCAGGAAUUUCUGCAUCAGGCUGCUCAAACCUGAAUUUGACAAAAUUUCAAAGCGCUGUAUCUUUAUGUUGAUAAGACAACGGAUAAAGUGCCAUACUUGGAACCUAGAUCACUCAAUGUUGCCUGUAGCUGAGUCCACUUCUGUCACUCACCCUGCAUUGCCCUGCCAGGAGCAAGGGAGAGAAAGCCAGCCAGAAGGCAUGGGCAUGGGCUCAAAUCUGGCUUCUCCUGUGGCCACUGUGAAAGUUGAUCAUACAAAGGUCACUGUUGUCAUAGCCAAGCAGAGUUAUGAGACCACAGGAAAAAGCACUUGGACCACGUAACAUUGCUCCAAGAGUAUAACUGUCUCCAACCCUGGCUGCUGGAACAAGUGUUGCAACCUGAAACCGGUUUGAUCUAAUAGCUACAGAAACAACCUGCGGAAAUCUAAGACUAGUUUCACCCACUCACCAAUCAGAGCUUGCCGGAUCCCCAAAACGUUGCUAGUGCUAAUGAACUUGCUUUCCUAACAAUCCAUAACAUUUCUCAUUUUUAUGAAACCUACAACCUUCUCUUUGCUCUUUGGACAUACUGAAGACCACCCAGUCUGUGUGUAUGCCCCAAACUGAAAUUCUUGCUCCCCAAAUAAAACAUUUUAAACUUA